AUUGAACGCUGGCGGCAGGCCUAACACAUGCAAGUCGAGCGGAUGAGAGGAGCUUGCUCCUCGAUUCAGCGGCGGACGGGUGAGUAAUGCCUAGGAAUCUGCCUAGUAGUGGGGGACAACGUUUCGAAAGGAACGCUAAUACCGCAUACGUCCUACGGGAGAAAGUGGGGGAUCUUCGGACCUCACGCUAUUAGAUGAGCCUAGGUCGGAUUAGCUAGUUGGUAGGGUAACGGCCUACCAAGGCGACGAUCCGUAACUGGUCUGGGCGGAUGAUCAGUCACACUGGAAGUGAGACACGGUCCAGACUCCUACGGGAGGCAGCAGUGGGGAAGAUUGGACAAUGGGCAAAAGCCUGAUCCAGCCAUGCCGCGUGUGUGAAGAAGGCCCUCGGGUCGUAAAGCACUUUAAGUUGGGAGGAAGGGCUUACAGCGAAUACCUGUGAGUUUUGACGUUACCGACAGAAUAAGCACCGGCUAACUUCGUGCCAGCAGCCGCCGCCG
rnacentral:rRNA from 1 species